UUAUCCGACUUAAAAUGCUGGUGCAGUCUAUACUAAAGAACAAAACAAAACAUACCACCCCUUUCAGGACCAGGGCCCCAAUUACAAAAAUGAGAUUACCUAAUUACUGGACAGGCGAUACUGAAAGUGGUUUCUCAACUUUCAUGAGGGGAGAGUUAUUUGCGAGAUCACAAGUGUAAAUCUCACAAUGGCCGACAUCACAAGAGAACUUUUGUUUGUGAGGGUGUUCUUCGGCCUGUCCAGAGAUGAAAAGAAAAGGACAUGGCUGUCUGGGAAACUGAAGCCCGUUGGUGGAAGAAAAGCCACUUUGAGGUAUGAGGAAAAUAAAAGCAUCUAGAGAAAAAGAAAGGGGGCAUUCAGUGCUGUUAUUCCCAUACUGGACUCCUUCCUCAGCGUGUUAAAAUCAUUUACCAUUCCUGAAGAGAAGCAAGGCUCACAAUGAUGACAACUAUGGAGGCAGAUGGCAGCAGGUUUUCAGAAUUUCUAUGAGUAAUGCUAGGAGCAUUUCUUUCUGCGUGACUCACAGAAGACACUUGUUGUUUGAGACAAAGGAUAUGUGGGUGCCACCUCCCAUUUCCACGCAGAGGGGGAAAUGGAACUGGCUGUUGAAUCUUUUUCCAACCUUGGUGGUGGGAUUGCAUUUUUCACCACAACUAAAGCUGCCAGCAAGUCUAGGGAGCCAGUGACAGACAGUGUGAUAUAGAUAGCUAUGCCCAUCAAUAAAAGGAAUAGUCAAAA